AGUGAACGCUGGCGGUAGGCCUAACACAUGCAAGUCGAACGGCAGCACAGUAAGAGCUUGCUCUUACGGGUGGCGAGUGGCGGACGGGUGAGGAAUACAUCGGAAUCUACUUUUUCGUGGGGGAUAACGUAGGGAAACUUACGCUAAUACCGCAUACGACCUACGGGUGAAAGCAGGGGAUCUUCGGACCUUGCGCGAUUGAAUGAGCCGAUGUCGGAUUAGCUAGUUGGCGGGGUAAAGGCCCACCAAGUCGACGAUCCGUAGCUGGUCUGAGAGGAUGAUCAGCAACACUGGAACUGAGACACGGUCCAGACUCCUACGGGAGGCAGCAGUGGGGAAUAUUGGACAAUGGGCGCAAGCCUGAUACAGCCAUACCGCGUGGGUGAAGAAGGCCUUCGGGUUGUAAAGCCCUUUUGUUGGGAAAGAAAAGCAGCAGGUUAAUACCCCGCUGUUCUGACGGUACCCAAAGAAUAAGCACCGGCUAACUUCGUG
rnacentral:rRNA from 1 species